GAUGAACGCUAGCGGCAGGCCUAACACAUGCAAGUCGAGGGAGAAGCCCUUUCGGGGGCGGAAACCGGCGCACGGGUGCGUAACGCGUAUGCAACCUACCUUUCACAGGGGGAUAGCCCGAAGAAAUAUGGAUUAAUACCCCUCAUAUUUUUGGACGGCAUUAUUUGAUAAUUAAAACCGCCGUGGUGGAAUGUGGGCAUGCGUCCUAUUAGCUAGUUGGAGGGGUAACGGCACCCCAAGGCCACGAUUGGUAGGGGUCCUGAGAGGGAGAUCCCCCACACUGGUACUGAGACAGGGACCAGACUCCUACGGGAGGCAGCAGUGAGGAAUAUUGGUCAAUGGUCGGAAGACUGAACCAGCCAUGCCGCGUGCAGGAAGAAUGCCUUAUGGGUUGUAAACUGCUUUUAUAUGGGAAGAAUAAGGCGUACGUGUGCGUUGAUGACGGUACCAGAUGAAUAAGCAUCGGCUAACUCCGUG
rnacentral:rRNA from 1 species